rnacentral:ncRNA from 2 species
AAAUUUAAUAGAAGCUUAGGUGCCUUGCAAAAAGGUGAAAAGGGAAUGCGGUUGAAGUCCGCAGCAGCCCCCGCUACUGUAAAUGAGGACGAACCUUAAUAUGCCACUCAAUGAUUUCGUAUGGAGUAUAUACUAAAAUUAUAUGGGGAAGGCUAAGGUUAGGAUGAUACAUAAGUCAGGAGACCUGCCUAAGUUGUAAUUUGUCC